CGCCCGUCGCUCCUACCGAUUGGGUGUGCUGGUGAAACGUUCGGAUUGGCGGCAGGAGGCGGUUCGCCGCACUCUGCCACCGAAAAGUUCAUUAAACCCUCCCACCUAGAGGAAGGAGAAGUCGUAACAAGGUUUCC
rnacentral:rRNA from 1 species